AUUGAACGCUGGCGGCAGGCCUAACACAUGCAAGUCGAACGAGUGGCGGACGGGUGAGUAAUGUAUGGGCAACUGUCUGAUGGAGGGGGAUACUACUGGAAACGGUAGCUAAUACCGCAUACCCUCAGAUGUGCCCAGAUGGGAUUUGCUAGUUGGUGGGGAAACGGCUCACCAAGGCGACGAUCCCUAGCUGGUCUGAGAGGAUGACCGUCAACACUGGAACGGAUACACGGUCCAGACGCCGACGGGAGGCAGCAGUGGGGAAUAUUGCACAACGGGCGCAGGCUGGAUGGAGCAAUGCCGCGUGUAUGAAGAAGGCCUUCUGGUUGUAAAGUACUUUCAGCGGUGAGGCGUUACCCUCAGAAGAAGCACCGGCUAACGCCGUGCCAGCAGCCGCGGUAAUUC
rnacentral:rRNA from 1 species